AAAGCCUGAUGCAGCGACGCCGCGUGAGGGAUGACGGCCUUCGGGUUGUAAACCUCUUUCAGCAGGGAAGAAGCGAAAGUGACGGUACCUGCAGAAGAAGCACCGGCUAACUACGUGCCAGCAGCCGCGGUAAUACGUAGGGUGCGAGCGUUGUCCGGAAUUAUUGGGCGUAAAGAGCUUGUAGGCGGUUUGUCGCGUCUGCUGUGAAAAUCCGGGGCUCAACCCCGGACUUGCAGUGGGUACGGGCAGACUAGAGUGUGGUAGGGGAGACUGGAAUUCCUGGUGUAGCGGUGAAAUGCGCAGAUAUCAGGAGGAACACCGAUGGCGAAGGCAGGUCUCUGGGCCACUACUGACGCUGAGAAGCGAAAGCAUGGGGAGCGAACAGGAUUAUUUACUUUUUGUAGUCCAUGCCGUAAACGUUGGGCGCUAGGUGUUGGUCUCAUUACACGAGUUCCGUGCCGCAGCUAACGCAUUAAGCGCCCCGCCUGGG
rnacentral:rRNA from 1 species